CACGUGAGUAACCUGCCCUUGACUCUGGGAUAAGUGCUAGAAAUGGCGUCUAAUACCGGAUACGAGCUUCAGCCGCAUGGCUAGGAGUUGGAAAGAAUUUUGGUCAAGGAUGGACUCGCGGCCUAUCAGCUAGUUGGUGAGGUAAUGGCUCACCAAGGCGACGACGGGUAGCCGGCCUGAGAGGGUGACCGGCCACACUGGGACUGAGACACGGCCCAGACUCCUACGGGAGGCAGCAGUGGGGAAUAUUGCACAAUGGGCGAAAGCCUGAUGCAGCAACGCCGCGUGAGGGAUGACGGCCUUCGGGUUGUAAACCUCUUUUAGUAGGGAAGAAGCGAAAGUGACGGUACCUGCAGAAAAAGCACCGGCUAACUACGUGCCAGCAGCCGCGGUAAUACGUAGGGUGCAAGCGUUGUCCGGAAUUAUUGGGCGUAAAGAGCUCGUAGGCGGUUUGUCGCGUCUGCUGUGAAAUCUGGGGGCUCAACCCCCAGCCUGCAGUGGGUACGGGCAGACUAGAGUGCGGUAGGGGAGAUUGGAAUUCCUGGUGUAGCGGUGGAAUGCGCAGAUAUCAGGAGGAACACCGAUGGCGAAGGCAGAUCUCUGGGCCGUAACUGACGCUGAGGAGCGAAAGCAUGGGGAGCGAACAGGAUUAGAUACCCUGGUAGUCCAUGCCGUAAACGUUGGGAACUAGAUGUGGGGGCCAUUCCACGGUCUCCGUGUCGCAGCUAACGCAUUAAGUUCCCCCCCUGGGGAGUACGGCCCCAAGGCUAAAACUCAAAGGAAUUGACGGGGGCCCGCACAAGCGGCGGAGCAUGCGGAUUAAUUCGAUGCAACGCGAAGAACCUUACCAGGCUUGACAUAUACCGGAAACAUCCAGAGAUGGU
rnacentral:rRNA from 1 species